AAAGUAAAUUCUUUUGAAAAGAGUAGUAUGCAUGUUGUACUAAUGGCACAGUGUUAAAGGACAUAUAUAUUUCAUCUACAUCCAAGGGCUAUAAAAAACAGCCAGAUAAAUAAACAAAAGGAGAUGACAAAGCACCAUGGAACAGGCAUCAUCACAGGCCUGGGCAAAACAGUGUCCAGAGCAAGAGGACUUCUGCCUCCCAAGGCUGUCGAAAGGAAACGGCCUUUCUCUGAGAAAUCAUUCAGUAUUGUUCCUGGAAGCUUGAUCUGUUUCUCCAACUGUCCCAAUGAUCCUGUGUAAGGGACCAGAGAGUUCAUCAUUUGAUCUAAGACACAUUUGGGAGUAAAAGAAGAUGCUGUUAAUAAUGUCAAGAAUAGACCAGAACUGGACUGAACAGAUGCGACACAUAGUAACUCUAACACUGUGAUUUACUUAAUACAUUUUGCUGCUUAAAUUAGUCAGAAUAAGACUUGCUUGUUUUUUCCUAUGAAUCCUAACAAAAUACCAUUGGAUUUUUAGGAUUAUAAAAUUAGUUAACAACGUAAGUGGACCCUGUGUCCUAUAUUGUGCCUAUAGUACAGGGAAGAAUAUCCUGUUCUACAUAUUUAUAAAGCAAAUUCAGAUUAAUUCAAAUCCAUAGAAUCUAUUAUAUCAAUAUUAGUUGACUUAACGUAGCCAUAUGCUUGUUGCCUAAAGAACCAUGACUUCCACUGAUGUGUUGUUAAUGAAGCCUAGGGAAUGGAAACAAAAUAUUUUGUCACGAGGUUUUUAUAAAUAGUGGUUCACUGACAUAGGUGAGUCGAGGUUGUUAAAUACAAUAUUACUACGACAGAAUAUAAACUUAAAGAAAUCUUGAAGUUAGUGUCCUUGUUAAAGUUGUCAUUAUCUAAUUUCUCUGUAAGUCAUUACUUUAUGCUAUGAAUGAUAGCUAUAUGCAUAUUGUUCUAUGUUAUAAAUAUACAUAUUUGUACUAUAAUACUACUAAUUUCAGAAAUCCAAGAAGAAAUAAAUAUGGGUCUCAUUCAUCAUUCCAGUGUCUUCAUUCAAACAACGUUACCGAACACUUACUGGCACUUUACUCACUCGUUCAGCAAUUCAUAUAGGCACU
rnacentral:lncRNA from 1 species